AUUAUAAAGAAUUCCAAUUUGAUUUGAUUGUCUUCGUGUUUUAUUAAGAACUUCUUGGUUGCGGAAUCAUUGUCGACAAGAAAUUAAGUCGACUCAUUCAGAUUCAUAAAUUCAAUCAAUCGAAUUUGAUAGUCCCUUGCUUUCUUUUUUAUCUUUUUCUAAACUAUUUUUAUGUAAAUUCUUGAUGUAAUUGAUGGUUCUGUGAACUGGGAAGCAUAAGAGGAUUUCUGGUGAAUCCCAAUAGCUGAUGUCGCUGAUUCAUCAUUUUGUGGAAAUCAUUAUAUAUAAAUAAAACCUUCAUCGGAGAGAGAAAGAUGGAGGCAGGGCAAGCGAUGAAGAGAAUCUCAUGCAUCAAAUUUACUCAACGUCAUCCAAAACCCUCAGAUGGAUGACAUCUCCAUGAAUGAUAUCAAGAAUGAUGAUCUUGUUACAAAAUUCUUCUCAAGGGUGUCAUCCGCAGCGUCGGGAGAGAAGGCUUCUGAUCAGCCUAAAAUAACUCCUGUUUCUGACUCCGCAAGAGAGCUUACCCUGUGGAGGAACGCAUUCCAACUGGUAAACUGAUUUAUAUUGAGGCCUUUGUGUGCAAGAAACUCUCAUCUAGCGGACAACAAAAUACAGUGUAUAUUCAAGUUUUUGUUUGACCACUAUUAUAAAUUUUCUGAGAUACACUUAAUCAUCUCCUGAUUGUCGAA